AUAGAGAAAAUUUUGGUGAUGCCAGUAAUAAGCUCUGACCUUCAUAUGAAGGCAGUAUUACCCCGAAAGAGGUAUGAAUUGUUGCUUGAUGUCAAAAAUGCAUAAAAAAAGCGCCCGUAGGCGCUUUUUUA
rnacentral:sRNA from 1 species